CUCAUCUAUAUAAGUGCGGAAUUCCAAAUUUGGUUCCCAUUUAUUCAAUCGCAGCUGCCCAUUUAUCAUGACGUAAACUCUAGAAAUUCGCAAUUAUUUAUUUACAACACACGACAUAAUAAUAUAAUAUUAGUGUGUAAAGCCGAACGCUCGCACGUACGUAGGGAUGAAGAGUCCAAAUUAAUAAUUAUCGUCUGUCGGACGAGGUCAACAACUUUUGAACAGAGACAUUUCAUAUUAAUAGUAAUACAAUCAAUAUCAUAAAUAUUGGGACUAUCGUUACGUUCAAAACAUUUUUUUUUUGUUGUAGAAAACUGGACAGAUACUUCGGUCCGUUUGUCCUAGUACUGUUCCAUAACAACAGCACAAAUCAAAGUAAUUUAAUAAAAACUAAGCUUUAUAAAAUUACAUUUUCGAUAUAUUUCAAUGACGGUUUUCUAUUUGCGCAGGCCUCUUGAACUUAUUCAUAAUAUUUAAUUCGUAAUUUCAUAUAAUUAUUUUGUGCUGAAUUGUUGUAAGUUUGAAAAAAUAACAAAACGAAUCGUUUAUUUGAUGGCAGUGUAUUCAAAAAUUAUAUUUCAUAAAUCAGUAUCAUAAUAAUUUAUAAUCUAUUGUCGUCAAUUGUUUUUUUUUUUUAAUAAAUGCUUUACAGACAACUACACGAGUGAUGAAGAAAAGAAUUAAAAGAUAUAAUUGGAUGGUCUUCAUAAUAAAGGGCGCAAGUCAAUUUCUUU